rnacentral:tRNA from 1 species
UUGUAUGAAGCCAAAAUAGAGGCCUGUCUCUGUUAAAGACACUAUUAGAUAAAACUCUCCUACAAA